AAGUAAUUCGCUUGAAGAUGAGCCCGCGCGAGAUUAGCUAGUUGGUGAGGUAAUGGCUCACCAAGGCUACGAUCUCUAGCUGGUCUGAGAGGAUGAUCAGCCACACUGGAACUGAGACACGGUCCAGACUCCUACGGGAGGCAGCAGUAGGGAAUAUUGCGCAAUGGGGGAAACCCUGACGCAGCGACGCCGCGUGAGUGAUGAAGGACUUCGGUUCGUAAAGCUCUGUCGCAGGGGAAUAACACCG
rnacentral:rRNA from 1 species